CUUUUAUCAAAUAAAGAAUUCAAACACUUUGCAAAGAUCAAUAAGAGUUGAUGUGGUUUAAAUUUUAUACAGGUUGCAAGUCUUUUUCUUUUCUAACACAUUUUUUCAGAUUAUCUUGACUGAUGGUUUUUAAAAUUUACUGUUCCUACUGACAUUUUAGUUUUCAAUAUGUAAUAUUGAAACUGAGGAACAUGUCUUGUUAGAGUGUCCGUUGUAAGAUGAUCUGCGAAAUGAACUUUUUAAAAUUAUUUUGUCAGAAC
rnacentral:lncRNA from 1 species